UAGCGUAUAUUAAAGUUGUUGCGGUAAAAAAGCUCGUAGUUGGAUUUCUGUUGAGGACGACCGGUCCAUACAUUGUAUGUGCAUCUGGUUCGGCCUCGGCAUCCUCUCGGAAGCCGUUCGGCGCUUGAUUGCGUUUAGCGGAGUUCGGGACUUUUACUUUGAGGAAAUUAGAGUGUUCACGGCAGGCUUGCGCCAGAAUACAUUAGCAUGGAAUAAUAACAUAGGAUCUUGGUUCUAUUUUGUUGGUUUCUAGAACUGCGAUAAUGAUUAAUAGGGACAAUUGGGGGCAUUCGUAUCAACACGUC
rnacentral:rRNA from 1 species